CUAGCUAAAUGUCUACUUAGAAAGACCAUAUGAUUUUUCUCUUUUGUUGCUCACAUGUCAAUGCAUAAACAUGUACAAACUGUAAUGCCCUUAUAUUUUGCAGCACGCCAAAGCUAGAUAUAUUGAAGAUGUGUGUGCUGAUUCUUUUUGGUGAUCACCUCUACCUCUACAGAUUCAUCGGCAAAGAGGUCUGGGCAUCAGCAUAUGUGUUUGUGGAUGUGAGCAUGAAUACAAAACUUGGGCAGGCCUUGAAGCAUGGGUUUGCUUGAAGCUACUUUUUAUUUGCUGUAUUAUGAGAUUUUGUGCUAGAUAACUAGAGUUAGACUGAUUUCAUGUUGAAUCGAAAAACAUUGAUGUAUGUAUGUGAUCAGAUGUUGGAUAAGAAUUUAUUUAUAUAUGGGCUUCUUUAUAUCUUGA